rnacentral:rRNA from 1 species
UACGAAGGGGGCUAGCGUUGCUCGGAAUCACUGGGCGUAAAGCGCACGUAGGCGGAUUGUUAAGUCAGCGGUGAAAUCUCCGGGCUCAACCCGGAAACUGCCAUUGAUACUAUUGGUCUUGAAUAUUGUUGAGGUGGGCGGAACGGGUCAUGUAGCGGUGAAAUGCAUAGAUAUGACCCGGAACACCGAUUGCGAAGGCAGCCCACUAAGCAACGAUUGACGCUGAGGCACGAAAGCGUGGGGAUCAAACAGG